rnacentral:rRNA from 1 species
UGGGGAAUCUUGCGCAAUGGGCGAAAGCCUGACGCAGCCAUGCCGCGUGAAUGAUGAAGGUCUUAGGAUUGUAAAAUUCUUUCACCGGGGACGAUAAUGACGGUACCCGGAGAAGAAGCCCCGGCUAACUUCGUGCCAGCAGCCGCGGUAAUACGAAGGGGGCUAGCGUUGCUCGGAAUUACUGGGCGUAAAGGGAGCGUAGGCGGACAUUUAAGUCAGGGGUGAAAUCCCGGGGCUCAACCUCGGAAUUGCCUUUGAUACUGGGUGUCUUGAGUGUGAGAGAGGUAUGUGGAACUCCGAGUGUAGAGGUGAAAUUCGUAGAUAUUCGGAAGAACACCAGUGGCGAAGGCGACAUACUGGCUCAUUACUGACGCUGAGGCUCAAAGCGUGGGGAGCAAACAGGAUUAGAUACCCUGGUAGUCCACGCCGUAAACGAUGAUUGCUAGUUGUCGGGAUGCAUGCAUUUCGGUGACGCAGCUAACGCAUUAAGCAAUCCGCCUGGGGAGUACGGUCGC